GCGGAAGUAGUUCAGUGGUAGAACAUCACCUUGCCAAGGUGGGGGUCGCGGGUUCGAACCCCGUCUUCCGC
rnacentral:tRNA from 2 species